CAAGAAACAGGAAAGUGCAAUUCCUUCAAACAAGCCGAAUUACAACCUAUAGAUAAGAGCCAUUACAGGCCUUCUACUGAAAAGCGGGUAACCAGACUUUCCCUUUUUUUUUUUUCUUUCAGUGUGUGUGUGUUUAAAACCUACAGGGAUCCAGUCAAACCUGACAUGUUUUAUGUGCUUCAAAACCUGAGCUAAACUUGUCCCUGGCACAACACGCAAUCUUCUCUCAAACCACUACACCACCAUGCAGCCCAAAACUGCCUCCUAACUGCUUCUUCCCAGGGAAUCUUUGGGUGGAUAAUGUUGAGCCUGGCUUAGCCCUGCUCGCAUGCACAAGCACAUGCACACGAGCACAUAUAUAUACAUAUAUGAACCUGCACAUACACCACUAGUCCUGUGUUAUCAGUGCCUUCAGUGAGAGAAACACCUCCUUAAUCAUUUCAUAAGAUCAUUUGCCUGGCAGAUAUGCCUCAGGCUUUUCCCAUUACCCCUGGCUGCCUUGACCUAGAUAUGUGUGUGUGUGUG
ensembl:lncRNA